rfam:Limnoraphis robusta CS-951 contig196, whole genome shotgun sequence.
GUCAGCACCCCGCUCUAAAGAACGGGGCAUCAUGCCUCCCUCUUAGAUAGCUGACCAGCCUAAGUCUUAACUGACUACGUUUUUAGAGUUAUGACACCUAUAAAUGCUUUCCAGUUUGUGGCUCUGUCGUUAGUUGUUAAACAUUCCUACGAGGGGUAAGAAAGUGCAACUAGCCGAACAAGCUUUAAAAACAUUGGCGAGGAAAAAAUUAC